rnacentral:rRNA from 1 species
UACGGGGGGAGCAAGCGUUGUUCGGAUUUACUGGGCGUAAAGGGCGCGUAGGCGGCCACCGCAAGUCGACUGUGAAAUCUCCGGGCUUAACCCGGAAAGGUCAGCCGAUACUGCGGGGCUAGAGUGCAGAAGGGGCAACUGGGAAUUCUCGGUGUAGCGAUGAAAUGCGUAGAUAUCGAGAGGAACACCUGCGGCGAAGGCGGGUUGCUGGGCUGACACUGACGCUGAGGCGCGAAAGCUAGGGGAGCGAACGGG